GUCUACAGCCAUACCACCCUGAACAUGCCUGAUCUCGUCUGAUCUCGGAAGCUAAGCAGGGUCAGGCCUGGUUAGUACUUGGAUGGGAAAAUAGAGCUGACAGUGCCUUUCAGCUCCGGGGCAUUGUGGCCA
rnacentral:rRNA from 1 species